GAUGAACGCUGGCGGCGUGCCUAAUACAUGCAAGUCGAGCGAGCAGACGAGGAGCUUGCUCCUCUGACGUUAGCGGCGGACGGGUGAGUAACACGUGGAUAACCUACCUAUAAGACUGGGAUAACUUCGGGAAACCGGAGCUAAUACCGGAUAAUAUAUUGAACCGCAUGGUUCAAUAGUGAAAGACGGUUUUGCUGUCACUUAUAGAUGGAUCCGCGCCGCAUUAGCUAGUUGGUAAGGUAACGGCUUACCAAGGCAACGAUGCGUAGCCGACCUGAGAGGGUGAUCGGCCACACUGGAACUGAGACACGGUCCAGACUCCUACGGGAGGCAGCAGUAGGGAAUCUUCCGCAAUGGGCGAAAGCCUGACGGAGCAACGCCGCGUGAGUGAUGAAGGUCUUAGGAUCGUAAAACUCUGUUAUUAGGGAAGAACAAAUGUGUAAGUAACUAUGCACGUCUUGACGGUACCUAAUCAGAAAGCCACGGCUAACUACGUG
rnacentral:rRNA from 1 species